GGACCCGCACAAGUAGUGGAGCAUGUGGUUUAAUUCGAAGAUACGCGCAGAACCUUACCAACACUUGACAUGUUCGUCGCGACUUUAAGAGAUUAAAGUUUUCGGUUCGGCCGGACGAAACACAGGUGCUGCAUGGCUGUCGUCAGCUCGUGUCGUGAGAUGUUGGGUUAAGUCCCGCAACGAGCGCAACCCUCACUUUUAGUUGCCAUCAUUAAGUUGGGCACUCUGAAAGAACUGCCAGUGAUAAGCUGGAGGAAGGUGGGGAUGACGUCAAGUCCUCAUGGCCCUUACGUGUUGGGCUACACACGUGCUACAAUGGUAUCUACAACAGGAAGCAAGACUGCGAAGUUAAGCAAAUCCUUAAAAGAUACCUCAGUUCGGAUUGCACUCUGCAACUCGAGUGCAUGAAGCUGGAAUUACUAGUAA
rnacentral:rRNA from 1 species